AUGAGAGGGGCAGCCUCCCUCUGUAUCUCUCUCUACUUGGCCAAUAAUUAUAAGACUACUGAAUGGCUGAGCUCGGGCUUGCAUCAAGGACUCCUGAGUGACAGCAGUCGCCUGUGCCCUCUGGACCUCUGCUCCCCUAUCAUUGCGCUUUUCCUCUUCAUCUCCAGGUCGUUUGGUUUCCAGGUAAGCAGGAACAAUGGAGGAGGCAAUUAUUGCCUCAUGUCAUUCAUCUACUAGGUCAGCUUCAAAGCUGGAGCUGGCCUUGGGCCUGUCUAUUGAUUUGUCUGAGAGCUUCUACCCACCAGCCUCUGCCUCAGGCCAACACUUGGUCAAGAUGAGGAGAGACCAGAAGAAUUAAAAAUAUGUUAAAGGAAACAAGUCAG
rnacentral:lncRNA from 1 species